UUCGAACUAGACCUCAAUUUGAGCAAGAUUA
rnacentral:rRNA from 1 species